UUAAGCGACUAAGCGUACACGGUGGAUGCCCUGGCAGUCAGAGGCGAUGAAGGACGUGCUAAUCUGCGAAAAGCGCCGGCGAGGUGAUAUGAACCCUUGACCCGGCGAUGUCCGAAUGGGGAAACCCAGUGCAAUCCGUUGCACUAUCGUUAACUGAAUACAUAGGUUAACGAGGCGAACCGGGGGAACUGAAACAUCUAAGUACCCCGAGGAAAAGAAAUCAACCGAGAUUCCCCCAGUAGCGGCGAGCGAACGGGGAGCAGCCCGGAGUCUGAAUCAGCUUGUGUGUUAGUGGAACGGUCUGGAAAGUCCGACGGUACAGGGUGAUAGUCCCGUACACGAAAAUGCACAUGCUGUGAACUCGAAGAGUAGGGCGGGACACGUGGUAUCCUGUCUGAAUAUGGGGGGACCAUCCUCCAAGGCUAAAUACUCCUGACUGACCGAUAGUGAACCAGUACCGUGAGGGAAAGGCGAAAAGAACCCCGGCGAGGGGAGUGAAAAAGAACCUGAAACCGUGUACGUACAAGCAGUGGGAGCCUCUUUAUGGGGUGACUGCGUACCUUUUGUAUAAUGGGUCAGCGACUUAUAUUCUGUAGCAAGGUUAACCGUAUAGGGGAGCCGAAGGGAAACCGAGUCUUAACUGGGCGUUAAGUUGCAGGGUAUAGACCCGAAACCCGGUGAUCUAGCCAUGGGCAGGUUGAAGGUUGGGUAACACUAACUGGAGGACCGAACCGACUAAUGUUGAAAAAUUAGCGGAUGACCUGUGGCUGGGGGUGAAAGGCCAAUCAAACCGGGAGAUAGCUGGUUCUCCCCGAAAGCUAUUUAGGUAGCACCUCGUGAACUCAUCUUCGGGGGUAGAGCACUGUUUCGGCUAGGGGGCCAUCCCGGCUUACCAACCCGAUGCAAACUACGAAUACCGAAGAAUGUUAUCACGGGAGACACACGGCGGGUGCUAACGUCCGUCGUGAAGAGGGAAACAACCCAGACCGCCAGCUAAGGUCCCAAAGUCAUGGUUAAGUGGGAAACGAUGUGGGAAGGCACAGACAGCCAGGAUGUUGGCUUAGAAGCAGCCAUCAUUUAAAGAAAGCGUAAUAGCUCACUGGUCGAGUCGGCCUGCGCGGAAGAUGUAACGGGGCUAAACCAUGCACCGAAGCUGCGGCAGCGACGCUUAUGCGUUGUUGGGUAGGGGAGCGUUCUGUAAGCCGUUGAAGGUGUGCUGUGAGGCAUGCUGGAGGUAUCAGAAGUGCGAAUGCUGACAUAAGUAACGAUAAAGCGGGUGAAAAGCCCGCUCGCCGGAAGACCAAGGGUUCCUGUCCAACGUUAAUCGGGGCAGGGUGAGUCGACCCCUAAGGCGAGGCCGAAAGGCGUAGUCGAUGGGAAACAGGUUAAUAUUCCUGUACUUGGUGUUACUGCGAAGGGGGGACGGAGAAGGCUAUGUCAGCCGGGCGACGGUUGUCCCGGUUUAAGCAUGUAGGCGGAGGUUCCAGGUAAAUCCGGUACCUUAUUAACGCUGAGGUGUGAUGACGAGGCACUACGGUGCUGAAGUGAUAAAUGCCCUGCUUCCAGGAAAAGCCUCUAAGCAUCAGGUAACACGAAAUCGUACCCAAAACCGACACAGGUGGUCAGGUAGAGAAUACCAAGGCGCUUGAGAGAACUCGGGUGAAGGAACUAGGCAAAAUGGUGCCGUAACUUCGGGAGAAGGCACGCUGAUGUGUAGGUGAAGCCCCUGCGGGUGGAGCUGAAAUCAGUCGAAGAUACCAGCUGGCUGCAACUGUUUAUUAAAAACACAGCACUGUGCAAACACGAAAGUGGACGUAUACGGUGUGACGCCUGCCCGGUGCCGGAAGGUUAAUUGAUGGGGUUAGCGGCAACGCGAAGCUCUUGAUCGAAGCCCCGGUAAACGGCGGCCGUAACUAUAACGGUCCUAAGGUAGCGAAAUUCCUUGUCGGGUAAGUUCCGACCUGCACGAAUGGCGUAAUGAUGGCCAGGCUGUCUCCACCCGAGACUCAGUGAAAUUGAACUCGCUGUGAAGAUGCAGUGUACCCGCGGCAAGACGGAAAGACCCCGUGAACCUUUACUAUAGCUUGACACUGAACACUGGUCCUUGAUGUGUAGGAUAGGUGGGAGGCUUUGAAGCGUGGACGCCAGUCUGCGUGGAGCCAACCUUGAAAUACCACCCUUUAAUGGCUGGUGUUCUAACGUGGACCCGUAAUCCGGGUUGCGGACAGUGUCUGGUGGGUAGUUUGACUGGGGCGGUCUCCUCCCAAAGAGUAACGGAGGAGCACGAAGGUUGGCUAAUCCUGGUCGGACAUCAGGAGGUUAGUGCAAUGGCAUAAGCCAGCUUGACUGCGAGCGUGACGGCGCGAGCAGGUGCGAAAGCAGGUCAUAGUGAUCCGGUGGUUCUGAAUGGAAGGGCCAUCGCUCAACGGAUAAAAGGUACUCCGGGGAUAACAGGCUGAUACCGCCCAAGAGUUCAUAUCGACGGCGGUGUUUGGCACCUCGAUGUCGGCUCAUCACAUCCUGGGGCUGAAGUAGGUCCCAAGGGUAUGGCUGUUCGCCAUUUAAAGUGGUACGCGAGCUGGGUUUAGAACGUCGUGAGACAGUUCGGUCCCUAUCUGCCGUGGGCGCUGGAGAAUUGAGGGGGGCUGCUCCUAGUACGAGAGGACCGGAGUGGACGCAUCACUGGUGUUCGGGUUGUCAUGCCAAUGGCACUGCCCGGUAGCUAAAUGCGGAAGAGAUAAGUGCUGAAAGCAUCUAAGCACGAAACUUGCCCCGAGAUGAGUUCUCCCUGAGACUUUAAGUCUCCUGAAGGAACGUUGAAGACGACGACGUUGAUAGGUCGGGUGUGUAAGCGCAGCGAUGCGUUGAGCUAACCGAUACUAAUGAACCGUGAGGCUUAACCUU
rnacentral:rRNA from 2 species